rnacentral:lncRNA from 1 species
CUAGUUCUCUGCUCAGGAGCUCACAGGCAGCAGUCAAGAUAUCAGCUGGGUCAGUCACCUCCUCUGAGACUGUUGUCCUUUUCCAAGCUCAGUGGUGGUCAGCAAAAUUCAAGACAGAGGCCCUCAGCUCCAGAGACCCGCUGUCCUCUGAUGCAUGGCCAUCUCCAGUGGCUCUUCAUGGUGUGGCACUUAGAUUCUUCAAGACCAGCAAAGAUCUCUCCUGUGCAUACUGACAAGGUGGAAUCAUGUUGACGGGAGGAGAUUGAAUGAGGCAUAGCACUCAGCAUGGGCUCAGAGGACCAGUUUAGAACUCUGAUACCUGUGUCUCUGUCUUGUGAGAUGAACCAGCUGAAGGAACUCCUCUAAGAUCUCUCAGGAUCCAAGUGAAUAUAGGUGGGCAAGAGGAAGAGAAAAGAAUCAAGACACCACGGUGUUACUGCUGGCAGCAUUUAUGGACCCCAGCCUGUGAUGUGUCAAAUGCUUGUGACUCCCCUCAGACCCUCUUGACAUUUGUCUGCACACCCAGGUGGGUGCGUUUGCAUUCCUCCAGGUGGCAGUGGCUGCCCUGGAGUCACUUCUGUGGGAAGGAGGCUUACCCUGGAAUAGCUGAUGUACAGUUCUGCAGGAUCAAUGCUGUGGAGACUGCAUAAAUUGGUAAGUAGUUAAGCAGCCACCUUUGCCUCAGCUGACA